UUCCUUCCUGACCAAUCAGUUCGUUGCUACAACAGACAGUAAACUGUGUUGGGUUUCUCUUGAAAGAAUAAAAAAAAAAUUGGCGUAUUCUCAGAAAAGUCAACCACAUUUGGUUUUAGUUUGCAUUGUAUGGUUGGUGUUAUGCCUUGGACCCUUUUCUCCAGAACUUUCUUAUAGCUGCAACUUGCAAGCCACCGAUUGAUUGUUCCGCAAAAGACCCUUAAAUUCGCUGCCCUUCUGAGUAAGAGAGGACUCUACUCUCACUUCACCUAGGCUCUUCCUCUACAGGCUUCAAAACAAUUCGAGUCAUGGCUUCUACUGGAGUUGAUGAGCCUGUUGUUUCUGUUGAUUGCCUUCAUUCUAAUCUUAGAAACCCUGAUUUGAACCCUUUGUUUUCUUCAAAACUUUUGUCUGUUAUGCUUAAAUGUACCUGUUUCUGUUCAGGUUUUGGAUGCGUCGUGGUACAUGCCUGAUGAUCCAAGAAUAUCAGGUUGCUCAUAUUCCCGGUCCUCUCUUCUUUGAUUUAGAUCGAACAACAAGUGGGCUUCACCGGCUGGGGGAAACUGAAGUGCCAGUGUAUGAUGGAUCGUGGACUGAAUGGGCAACAGAACCAGACUUACCCAUGGAAGGUGAAGGUGAUGAAUCUUCUUCAUGAAAGUCCUAACAAAAGCCACUUAUUCAGUUAUGAUUGGCUUGUCGCUAUCAAACAUACCAUUAGUCUGUGUUCUCUUUCCAAUAAAUCAGCAAACUUAAAUUUGUUUAUCCUAAAACAUAAAACUCGAAACCAUUACGUACAAAGUGCAGUAAAGUCAGUAUAGUAGCGAAAAGUUAAUAAACAAGAUGGCCGCGUGGCCUAAUGGAUAAGGCGCUCGCCCACCGUGGUCGUUUUUAAUUUUUUUUAUAGGCAUUUCAAUGAAUAGCUGAAUAUACCAGUUGGCCCAAAAGUAGGCUUUAAUGACUGAAUAAUUGAUACAUCAACAUAGACCAUAUAUUUACAGUAGUAUAGAAAAAGAGAUCUAGCCAGUAGCGGUAACACCGAAGGUCCAAAGUCCUCCUGUUUCUUGUCUUGAAGCCUUUUAACUUGUAUUGCAGCUUCGUCUAUGUUCUGUCAUACUUCCCAGUUAAAACAACUGGAGGGUUUAACAGCCUCAAGAUUAGUCGCCUUCAGAAGGUCUGGAAACUGGGUUGGGCGCUUUCAGCUUGUGAGGUUUAGGCUACGUAAGUUUCCAAGGCCUCUUGCUGCACCAUGGAAAAAUAUCAGGAAGACUGAUUCAAGAGGAGACAUCUUCUUGAGAUAGUACUGAAUCGAAAUGGUACCUGCCUUCCUUUCCAAACUGUUUCUGUUGAGCUCAACUAGAAAGCUAGUACAAAACCGAAGCCGUAACGAUUUCAGAUGAUAAGCAUCCUGGUGAAGCUAUGGGAGGUAGUGAAGACCAUCGAACAUCCUUCCUUGUUCUGCUCUCUCUCAAUCGCUGGUAUUGCUUUGUAUAGAAGUUUGCAUUUUAAAUGUUGAAAAUGCAAACAUGAGAUACAGGGACUGGGGCUCAAGAAAGAUUCUCUGCUUACCAUAUUGGAGGAGAAAACGUGUUUUGAUAUCUUGGAGCAUGUCAUCAUAAACCCAUACCCCCACACUUCUCCAUUAGAGCUACAAUCUCGGGUCUGGUGGGCAAAGCUCUGCGACUGGAAGACACCAAAAAAAGGUCUAGCGGCACACUGUUGAAACAAAGCGCCGUGUAAAGAAAAUCUGCACAAGUACAUGAGUGGCACACCGUACCCUCACAGUCGCUAGGACACACUUCCGACCAUAUUCUGACAAAGGCGAGAUUCAUAUGCCCUGUGUUACCAUCCAUCAAACCAGAAAAAAACGAGGCAAAUGAUGAAACCAUGCAGUAGUAGUGCACAAGAAAAGAGCAUCAUGUCGAGAGCGAAACUCUUCCACAAAACCAAAUACAAAACAGAUGUACUAAGAUGAUACUGACUACGUGAUAUUACUGCAAACCUAGAGGAAGACAAAAAAGGCACCAGCUUCUUGGUAAACACCUUCAGAGUAGUCAACAUAUACAGAAGCAAACGCCACCGUAUUUGAGCUUCAUCCAUCCCAGCCAUAUCAAAUCACCGAAGACUAUAUCCAAUAGAAGAAUGUCCAGAGCAAGAUGUUUUCAUAUCAGAAAGAAAGGAAAGAGCAAAUCUCAAAGAGUUUGUUACCUUGUCACUAUCUCAAGGAAAGAGCAAAUCUCAAAUAUCCAUGAUAUUCCAUCCUCCAAAUCUAUAGCAAAUACACAUUACUACAUUACCCUUCCGUGAGCCAAAUAACGUGUAACUCGAGAAUUCAAAAAAUCAGGACAAGGAAAGAGAGGAUGGGGACUGACAAACCCGAAGAAGCUAAGCUUACUUCCCGUGAAGGCCAGCCAACAAAAUUAACUAACCAGAGACACUCUUGUGAAACCAUAGGUUACUUCCCUCAAAGCCAACAAAACACCAGACUACUGAACUGUAGAAGAUUUUGUCCAAAGCAAAACGUUUCCAUAACAAAAAAACGACGAAUAGGACUCGGAAGAACUUCAACGUUACCUUGACUCCCUGGAGCAAAAAAACUGAAAUACAUUGUAUUGCAUCCUCAAAACCUUCCUUUAGCAGAUAUUUAUUAACCUUCAGAGAGCAGCAAAACAAGUGUUACCAAUAUCAACUAUCAACCCCCAAGAUAAGUAGCCUAGCAAAAUAGGAAACAAGGGAACAUGGCCGAGAAAACCGACAGACUAAAUACGACUUCUUGCAGAGGAAACCGAAGCUUUCUUCCCUCGAAGUCAACCAAUCACCGGACUCAACUGUAGAAAAGGGUAUCCAAAGCAAAACAUCUCCAUAACAAAAAGGAAGAUCAAAACUCAGAAGAACUUCAACGCUACCUUGUCUCACCGAAGCAACGUUAGCGUGUUCCCAAAUAUCAAUGAAGCCUCCCAAAAAAACGAGGAAGAAGGCACCUGAAGCUUACUGCCCAGCAAACAAUAAUAGUAAACACAAACCAACAGGGAGGGUAACAAUCCAAAGUUCCUGGACAACAUUAAUUUACUUUCCGUUCAAUUACUCCAUAAUGAGUUCCACCAGCAAGUAAAAUAAGACCUUCCCCUUGCACCAUCUAAAUUCCUAUUCAAAAAAUUAGUUCAUAGGAAAGAGAAGCCAUCAUCUCAAACAGACGUACUAAUAUCAUUGAAGAGAUGCAGUAAAGAAAAUAUCAGAAAGGAGCCAAAACAGAGAGGAGAA